AUCUGCCGGGGGCGGCACAGUGACGCCUCCGGUGCGUACACAUCACACCGUGCCACGGGAAGAACGAGGCACUUCAGGGCGUU
rnacentral:sRNA from 1 species